rnacentral:tRNA from 1 species
GAGGGUAUAGCUCAGCGGGAGAGUGUGUGCUUAGCACACGCGAGGUCCUGGGUUCAAGCCCCAGUACCUCCA